CCAGCCCACGUCACUGUAUUUUGUCGCGAAUUUCAAGCUCCUGGACUGGAAUGCUCCUGAUGCAGGACGAAUACAAGGUCAUUAUAGAUCUCCCAGGCAUAUGCAGUCCUCCUGCAGUAUGCCACAUAAUGCCCGAGAGAAUCCUGGGUCAGUCCUGGUUCAAAGCCAAUGACUGCUCUCAAAGUAAAGGUCUUCUCUUUUAGCUCCAGACUGGAGGGAAAUUCAAGCAAGGCAACUUCCUUGCAACUGCUGCCAAGGUCAGUGUCAAUCCACACAAACUCUCCCAGAUUGUAGCUGUGAGUAACAUUACCUGAACACAGAGCCUUGCCUGUAUUGUUGUCCUGUGUUUUGAAUGAAGACGGACAAUGGGAAGGAUUUUCAAUUGGCCUGAGGCAGAGAGAGUCAGGAAGGCUGAGUCCCUCUUCAGCAGCAGUCUGAAGAGAAGCCAUGCCACAGUGGAGAUGUGGCAUUGUGCAUCAAUUUGGAGAGCACCAGAGGUCAGGAGGACAGGUUUGAAUAUUUCCCCCAGCAGUUCUGCCCUCUGUGAGUAUACCUGUGGGUUCACACUCUGUGUUGUGAUGGUUUUCACCAGGUGGAGGAAUUGGUUCCCAUGUUCAUAGUUCAGAACAGUCUUUUCAAAUGAAAAACUUUCACAGAAAGAACAGCAUAAGCAUUGCAAGACAGAAUCAAAUGCACAAGUAUUGAGCACAAACACUUUUGAUGUGCGAAGUUUAACAGGCUGUUGAUGGUUCCCGUUUUUCAACAAUGGUACCUUGACUUUUUUCCAGCCCACUUGUGUGUCAAUAUGCAGCCAUUCAGGACAAGGAGAGAGAUAUGAAGUUAUCUUUCUUUUUUUCGGUGGGACCGCUAAACCUCUCCAGUUUUCAACUGCACUGUCAGUAGAUGCAUCUGGCUCCGCUCCAGGAUGAGAUUUUUCUCCCCUUUUGUUUACUACUUCAGUUUGAGAAGUACUGCAGACAUUGUCAGGCUCUCUGACGGUCGUGGCAUCACACACAUCACUUUUUUGUUUUGCAGAGCAAAUCCGCAUGUUUCCCUCAAUGAAGGAAAGAUGACGAGCAACAAACCGGUCCACACGAAUGGCUGCGGAACUUGCAGUGAUGCUGGCGCUUUUGAAGAGAGGGACCAUUAUUGCUGUCCAGAGUGGCAAGUAACUUCCAAGUCUUGUUAUUUGGGGAAUAAUCUCAGGGAGGAAGUGGAUGUUGUCUCUAUCCCCAUCAGCCAUGGCAAGUGACCUGCUCUCCUCACAUAUUUCUGUCACCCACUCUCGGACAUUAGUCUGGAUGUGCUGAUUUAAUGAAUCACCUGGUUCUUGUCCCUCAACUUCCUCAUCUGAAAUGGGGACAAAUUCCUCUGCGAUUUGCGCUCUCAAGUAUUUCUUGCACUUUUCUGAUGGGAUAGGGGCUCCAGAAUUGUCAUUACCCUCUGUCUCACUCAGUGCCACAAUGGUGAUAGCACGAAGAAGUUCUUUUGCAUGUUGCAAACAUUGUGACUUAAGAAGCUGUGCUAUUGACCUAACAAAGAAAUCCUUAACACGAGGUCUUUUGUU